rnacentral:lncRNA from 1 species
AUGACGGAUCACCAUCUCAAGCUGAACCUCGGCAAGACGGAGCUGCUUUUCCUCCCGGGGAAGGACUGCCUGUUCCAUGAUCUCGCCAUCAUGGUUGACAACUCCAUUGUGUCCUCCUCCCAGAGUGCUAAGAGCCUUGGCGUGACCCUGGACAACACCCUGUCGUUCUCCGCUAACAUCAAGGCGGUGACCCGAUCCUGUAGGUUCAUGCUCUACAACAUUCGCAGAGUACGACCCUGCCUCACACAGGAAGCAGCGCAGGUCCUAAUCCAGGCACUUGUCAUCUCCCGUCUGGAUUACUGCAACUCGCUGUUGGCGGGGCUCCCUGCCUGCGCCAUUAAACCCCUACAACUCAUCCAGAACGCCGCAGCCCGUCUGGUGUUCAACCUUCCCAAGUUCUCUCACGUCACCCCGCUCCUCCGCACACUCCACUGGCUUCCAGUUGAAGCUCGCAUCUGCUACAAGACCAUGGUGCUUGCCUACGGAGCUGUGAGGGGAACGGCACCUCCGUACCUUCAGGCUCUGAUCAGUCCCUACACCCAAAGAAGGGCACUGCGUUCAUCCACCUCUGGCCUGCUGGCCCCCCUACCUCUGCGGAAGCACAGUUUCCGCUCAGCCCAGUCAAAACUGUUCGCUGCUCUGACACCCCAAUGGUGGAACAAGCUCCCUCACAACGCCAGGACAGCGGAGUCAAUCACCACCUUCCGGAGACACCUGAAACCCCACCUCUUUCACCUCUUACAUCUAGACGUUCCGCUAGCGGAACACCUGCUCCAAUAUCCAAUGAUAGGCGUGGCGCGAAUUACAAAUUCCUCAAAAAUACAAAAACUUCAAUUUUUCAAACAUAUGACUAUUUUACACCAUUUUCAAGACAAGACUCUCCUUUAUCUAACCACACUGUCCGAUUUCAAAAAGGCUUUACAACGAAAGCAAAACAUUAGAUUAUGUCAGCAGAGUACCCAGACAGAAAUAAUCAGACACCCAUUUUUCAAGCUAGCAUAUAAUGUCACAUUAACCCAAACCACAGCUAAAUGCAGCACUAACCUUUGA